AUGGAUCCUUCCCUCUUGCCGCCGCUUCUCCCUCUCCUCUUCCCCGAUUCCACUGAUUCCCUGCCGCCGCCGGCCCCGUCCGUCCUCCUCGCCUCUUCCCACCCCCUCCUCUGCAUCGUACCGGUGGCUUCACCGUCCGUCGUUCGAUCUCUGCCGCUGGGCCUUGUCCUCUCUACUGCCGGUGCUCAGGUCCCCUGGCAUCGUGCCACUGUCCGUCCCUGCGCCCUCGCCUCCGUCCUAUCCCGCACGCCCUCGUGGCCGGACGAUCGGCACCCCUCCAGCCACCAACCCACCAUCUCGCAGUCGACCGCCUCCGCUGCUCCUCUGGUUCACUCCCCACCCGCCUCUGCUACCUCCUCUACUCACUCUACUGGCUCUACCAUCACAAACAUCCCUGCGACCGAAUCGAACCAGUUAGAUGCAGCCGAGGAGGGAAAGAGAAGUGCAGGAGCAGGUGCCGCACAGAUGCUGUGUUCUGCUUUCAAUUGCUCAGAUGUUGUUUGUUGUUAA
rnacentral:rRNA from 1 species